rnacentral:misc_RNA from 1 species
UCCUAGUUUCCUAGGCAGUCCCAUCAGAGUGCCUCAAAAAUGAGUAGCAACUGAUAGCAGGGGUUGCGCUCGUUAAAGGACUUAACCCAACAUCUCACGACACGAGCUGACGACAGCCAUGCAGCACCUGUGUACAUGUCCAAGCUUUCGCUUGGAAAACCAUAUUUCUACAGCGGUCAUGCACAUGUCAAACCCAGGUAAGGUUCCUCGCGUAGUAUCGAAUUAAACCACAUGUUCCACCGCUUGUGCGGACCCCCGUCAAUUCCAUUUGAGUUUUAAUCUUGCGACCGUACUCCCCAGGCGGAUCACUUAAUGCGUUAGCUACGACACUGAUCCCGCAGAGCGGAACCAACGUCUAGUGAUCAUCGUUUACGGCGUGGACUAC